GGUUUUGUAGUGUAGCGGUUAUCACUCCAGAUUUUGAGACGAAAAUUCUGGUAACCCCGGUUCGAACCCGGGCAAGACCU